CCCUUAGAUGUUCGGGGCCGCACGCGUGCUACACUGAUGCAUACAGCGAGUACUCCCAGCUCCGAGAGGCUGCUGGUAAUCAGCAAUAUGCAUCGUGAUGGGGAUAGAUCUUUGGAAUUAUAGAUCUUGAACGAGGAAUUCCUAGUAAUCGCAGGUCAUCACCCUGCGUUGACUAAGUCCCUGCCCUUUGUACACACCGCCCGUCGCUCCUACCGAUUUCGAGUGAUCCGGUGAAUCAUUCGGACCGCGGCCCCUAGGCAUGCGGAAAGUCUAGUAAACCAUAUCACUUAGAGGAAGGAGAAGUCGUAACA
rnacentral:rRNA from 1 species